rnacentral:misc_RNA from 1 species
UACGGAGGGUGCAAGCGUUGUCCGGAUUUAUUGGGUUUAAAGGGUGCGUAGGCGGACGUAUAAGUCAGUGGUGAAAGCCUACAGCUUAACUGUAGAACUGCCAUUGAUACUGUAUGUCUUGAAUUUAGUCGAAGUAGGCGGAAUAUGACAUGUAGCGGUGAAAUGCUUAGAUAUGUCAUAGAACACCGAUAGCGAAGGCAGCUUACUAGGCUUGAAUUGACGCUCAUGGACGAAAGCGUGGGGAGCGAACAGG